GCUAGAUGUCUACUUGGAGGUUGUGGCCUUGAGCCGUGGGCUUCUCGGAGCUAACGCGUUAAGUAGACCGCCUGGGGAGUACGGUCGCAAGGAUUAAAACUCAAAUGAAUUGACGGGGGCCCGCACAAGCGGUGGAGCAUGUGGUUUAAUUCGAUGCAACGCGAAGAACCUUACCUACUCUUGACAUCCAGAGAACUUUCCAGAGAUGCUUUGGUGCCUUCGGGAACUCUGAGACAGGUGCUGCAUGGCUGUCGUCAGCUCGUGUUGUGAAAUGUUGGGUUAAGUCCCGCAACGAGCGCAACCCUUAUCCUUGUUUGCCAGCACUUCGGGUGGGAACUCCAGGGAGACUGCCGGUGAUAAACCGGAGGAAGGUGGGGACGACGUCAAGUCAUCAUGGCCCUUACGAGUAGGGCUACACACGUGCUACAAUGGCGUAUACAGAGGGCUGCCAACUCGCGAGAGUGAGCGAAUCCCAGAAAGUACGUCGUAGUCCGGAUUGGAGUCUGCAACUCGACUCCAUGAAGUCGGAAUCGCUAGUAAUCGUGAAUCAGAAUGUCACGGUGAAUACGUUCCCGGGCCUUGUACACACCGCCCGUCACACCAUGGGAGUGGGCUGCACCAGAAGUAGAUAGCUUAACCUUCGGGAGGGCGUUUACCACGGUGUGGUUCAUGACUGGGGUGAAGUCGUACAAAGGUAACCCGAAGUGU
rnacentral:rRNA from 1 species